AAAUGGAUUGAUUACUAAUACUUUAAAAUGUCAACAGCAUAAUUCAAGUCUACUAAAGAAUAGCUAAUUGCAUAGAAUUAUAAAAAAUUAACUUUUAUAGUACUGGAUUAGUAGAUUUAGCUUGUUACAAUAUUUCAAUAUCAAUACAACAAACACUUUGUUAAGACAAUAUUUGGAGAAUCCGUUGAUUUCUGAAAUUAUACUACUGUCAACUACAAUAUUAAUUUAUUAUAAACAAUUUAAUUUAAUUUGUAAGUCCAAAUACACCUAAAGCAGAUGUGUUUUAUAUGUUAUUUCAAUUGUACUAUGGAGACAUUCAAAUGAGUAAUAUUUUACAAAAAUGAAUUAUACUGUUAUUGCUGAAUAUCCUUUAAUUCAUACUAUACCCAAAUUGUCUUACAUAAAUAGACAAUUUAUUGAGUAUUGGAUAGUUCUCACUUUUCGAAUCAAUUUAAUUUAAUACCCAUGAAUCUAGUAACUCAUUUUAUAUGCAACAAUGAACAAUAGUAGUACAGUGAAACCUCUAUAAAGUGGAUAACUAUAGGGAAUUAAAAAAUGUCCACUUUAGGGAGAUGCCAUAGAGAAUUGGUUUUAUAAAUAUACAUUUACAUUGAAAUAUUAAUUUAUAAUUCAUCAUAUACAAUAGGUACAUGUUUACACCAUGUGCAGCACACAACUGAUGACCUAACCAUUUGUAAUUUUUCCAAUAAGAAAACAAUUAAGAUAAGAUAAAAUAUGAAUAAAAUGUUCAACAGAUAACUAUAGUAUUUGUAUUGCUUAAACAUUUUUUAUAUGUACAAGUAUUGAGACAGUAUUGUGUUCAUUUAUGAGAGGUGUUGAUAAUAUUCAAGGUCCACUGAAGUUGUAAAGUUUAAAGCAAAUUUGGUUGAAUUAAAUUCUGGCAUAAAUUAUGGAAAGUUUAUAGUAACCAUUUUGAUUGAAAAUGGUGAGAUAAAUAUAUGGAACAAUAUCAGAUUUACAAUCAAGUGAAAGAAUUUUCACCAGUAGGAAGCUACAAUAUUCCCAAGUGACAAAGGCUAUAUUUGAUUGUGAUUAAUAAUACUUUUUAAUGUUAAAUAUCAAUAUUUGUCAAUCAAUUCCAAGAAAAAUGAACUGAUGAGUUUAUUUAUUAACGUGCUCUGACUUUAAGUGAAUAUAAUCUUCUAGUUCAAAGUAUUAAAAUUCUAUAAGUUGUUGGAUUUGAUUCAGAAUGAUAAAGAAAUACAAUUUGGAUUUAAUGCUUCAAAAGACAAUCAAUGAUAGACCAAGUGUCAAAAGAAGGUUUAAGAAGACAUUUGAUAAGGCUGGUAAUGUUUCUAUAGAAAAUGAUAUACCAAAUAUCAAAAAAAAAGUUUAAGAAAACAUUUGAUCAGACUGGUAAUGAUUCAAUAGACAGUGGUAUUUGAUAACAAUUAUAAACCCAUUUAGGAUAUCUUGAAGAAUUGCAUUUUUCCUCACUGCAACAGUACUGGAAUUUCGCGUCCAAUUACAGAUAUAACUGAGGAGCCAAAUGAAAGUCAUUGUGAACAAGGAUCAAUCAUGAAUCAGACUGUUAUUCUUUAAGACUUAUUUACUAUUAUAUAGAAUAGGGAUGGCAAAUUAAAUAAAAUAGAUUAAUAGAUUAAAACAAUGUUAUAAAAAGACUAUUGCAACUAUGUUGUUUUGUGGCUAGUAUAUUAUCUAUGCUUUUAGCAAACCUAGAAUUUAAUUUUUUGAAAAUGUCAAUGAUAAUUGAAAAGUGCUUGUAUUGUGGUUUUUUUUAUUUAUUAUUAAAGUUUAAGUAUAAUAAGUUAGGUAUUUCAAAUUUUUGCUUGCCACAAAUUUGCUAUCUUUAUUCAAAGUACAAAAGUACUUAUAAAAAUAAUACUAUUGUACUUUCCACUGCAGUUCCAGAGGGAAAAAAAAGGUAUAGAGUAGUGCCCAAAGUUGUAAGGGCAUGAACAGACAACAUGAUUUUGCCGUACGACAAAAGUUGGACGGUCUUUACUUACAUAGAGUUAGAUUUAAAUAAACAGACGUUGACAAUUUUUGCCAGACAGUUAGUUCAUCGUAGAAAUCACCGGUCCAACUAAAUUACCACGCUAGAUGUUUUGCGGCUGGCAUACAUCAAAAAUUAUUUACUAUUAUUAAUAUAAAUAUAAAAUGUAUAUCUUGUUUAUGUAAAACAGGGUUUGGUCCUUUAAAAAUAUAAAAUAUUAAUUAUAAAAAUUUAAAUAUCAUAGACCUUUAACAAAAAUAUACAUAACAUUGGUAAUUUUGAUGACUCUA